rnacentral:lncRNA from 1 species
ACAUUGACGUCGAUGGGAGGUUUGGAUCCGAACAAAGCAUCUGCAAUAGUGAUGACACCUGGGUUCUGGCUACUGAGCGCGGCGAUGGCCACGACAGGAUCUUUUCCAAGGUUUAUCUGAAAGUGGAUGAGACCGAUAGGGAAGGUGAAGACAUCACCCUUUUUGAGAACUUUGGAGAUAAAUCGGUUUUCUGAGUUGGAGGUGACAAAUCCCACUCCCAAUGUCCCCUCGAGCACAGUCAGGAGCUCGGUCGCACGAGGAUGGGUGUGAGGAGGAUUCAAGCCCCCAGGUUGAAAGUCGAUGCGAACUAGGGAGAUUCCAAGAGUGUUAAGACCAGGGAUGUGUACAACAUUUACUGGUGUAACAAUUGACCCGACCCGGCUUUUGCUGUUAUUUGCCUUGUCGAGACCAGAGAAGAAGAAGUCUUUCUCAGUGACGUACUUUGGGUUCUUGCACACUAAUCCAUUCACCAACACUGUACACGUAUAUAUAUUGAAGAUUAAUAGAUGAGAAUAUUAUCCUAUAUAUAUGUCAAGAAAUAAAAUUUGUUCAUAUAUACUUAGUUACUUACCCUUAGAUGCAUGGUCAGCAACACAGAAAUCUUGAAGAGGGCUUGGAUCAGAAGCCAUGGCUGAAGAAGCAAUUGCCAUUGCCACAGCAAAAAUCAAAAUGACAAGUUUGGAAUCCAUUGUCAUAUAUCUUUCUAUCUGGUUUGAAAGUGCAUGUAACCUUGAUGGAUUAAUUGUAUUUAUAGAUGAAAACUGGGCAGAAUUAUCUUGAACAAAUCAAAUCUAAUAUAGAUAAGAUUUGGUCAAUUUGAAAAUUUCCAAAGUUCUAAUUAUCUUGAAGUUUUCUUAUUUUCAUCUUUCAUUCAUUCAUUAUUAAAAAGUUGGACAAAAAAGUACACGUUUUCUUUGUAUACAUUUUAAAAUAUAUUUUGACUUUUAAUUAUCUAUUCAAAAUAAAAUUUAUUUUGAUUAGAUAAUUAAAAGUCAAAAUAAAAAAGCAUAAUUAAAUCGACUAAUAAUAAUAGUCUUCUUACUUAUUAGUAGGGGUGAGAACGGGGCGGGUCGCGAGCGAGGCAGCCUCGCCCCGGGUCUCGUUCUGGGGAAACCGGGCACGGAACGAGGUUGGCCCAGUGCGACCUAUCUAAAAUUAUAAAAAAUUAAAAUAAUAUCAUAAAACUAUAAAUUAUAAAUUAUAAAAAAAAUUAAAAAAUUAAAUCUAAAAUUUAAAAUUUAAAAUGGGUAAACUUUUUACCUUGAUUUUUAAAUUUUUUAAUUUUAAUAAUCAUAUAUCUAAUAUAAUAUAAUAUAAUUUAAAUUAAAUUAAUAAAAUAAAUUAAAAAAAAACCGUGCGACCCGCUCGGGUUUUCGCUAUGCUCCGAGACCCGCCUCGGGAUAUUUCUGGAGCAAUGAGGCACAGGGCAACGUAACAAAAAACGAAAAACGGGGCAGAAUAUCUACCCCGCACCCGAUUACCACCGGGGCGCGGAACGGGACGACCCACCUCGUUCUCACCCUUACUUAUUAGGCUUAUCCAAACCUCCCGUCGAUAUUAAAAGUUUUAGAGUACCUUCAACUUUUCAAAAUGAGUUAUCUUAUUAGGGUUCUGACCAUUAUCGUUUUUCUUUCUACUAUCUUUUAAAUAAGCAUGGUCCGUUUCGGUUAGGGAAGAGAACGGGACGGGUCGUUCCGUUCUGCGUCCCGAUGUUAACCGGGGUCGGGGCAGAUUUUUUUCCCUAUUCUUAUAUAUUUGCCCUGUCGUUUUUUCGGGACGAGUCUCAGGAUGGGGAAAAUCAUAAAAAUCCUUUUGAUUUUGACCCUUUUGACUUUAAUUUUCAAGGCGGGUCUCUGGGCAAGUCCGCCCCGUUUUCCUACUUGUUUCGGAUGAGAUCCACUAUAAAAGAUCUUUUCCAAACUUAAAUCUCAACCACUCUCAAAUUUUAAUGUCAUUUGUUCGAGAUAUGUGUCAAAAUAUUAAUGUCUUGUAUUAUAACAAGUGAUUGUUGGUUUCACAAUCAAUGGUUAGAAUCUAACUGUUAGGUUUUUAAGUUCUCAUACAAUCAAUGGUUAGAAUCAGUUGGUUCUCAUUUAAAAUUCAUCCUAAAUAAAUAAUUUAAGGGCAGAAUUCAAAUGACAACCAUUUUUUGAGAAUUAAAUAUAAACUUUCACAUCUAGUCGUCAUCCCACGAUUGUUUAAUAUUAAAUAUGGCAAACAUCUCGAAUAAUAAAUGAGGUUGCAUAUGGGGAAAAUUUAAAGUGAUGAGUUGUCAUGGAGGGUUACUGAUGACGUAUGGCCAGAAAGUAGACAUAUACGACUGGAUUAAGGUUUCUCCUUGUCUCUCUCUCACUCUUUAGAAAAUCCAUCCAAAUUUUUCAAAACCAUUCUCCAUAGAGACAGAUGCCUACCAAGGUGGAUUAAUUGGGAGAAGUUCUGAGUCAAGAGGGGGGGGCAUCCUAUAUAACUUUUUCAGUUUUAAAAUUUCAAGAAGGAUGUUGUUGGCAUCCACAUAUGCCAAAGAAAUGUUAGCAAUAACUCAAGAAUUGGCCAAGUGGAGGUAUUAUUUGCUAAGGCAUCAUUUUGUAAUUCACAUAGACCACCAAAGUAUUAAAAACAUGCUGAAUCUGAUUAUUCAAACACAUGACCAGCAAAAAUUUCUAUUUCAACUAUUGGGGUUUGACUACUCCAUCAAAUAUAAACCUGGCAAAGAGAACAAGGUAGAUGAUGCUUUGUCUAAGAAGUUUGAGAAAGAAAUUCAGGAAGUAUCUAUUUUAAGCCUAUGUGCAAUUGUGAAGAAGAUAGUGGAAGAACAGUCCACAAAACUAAAUUUGUUAGCCCUUAUUAAAGGAUAAAUUGGUUACAAAUAGGUUACAAGUAGUUAGCAGUUAACUAACUAAAGUCAGUUACAAAUAUACUAUAUAAACACAUCAUGUACUUAGGAAUUAAUCACUCAAAUAUUGAAUACAAAUCCAGUUUGUAAUAUGGUAUCUAGAGCAAGCGAUUUUUCUUCCGCAAACUCUGUCUCCAGAUUUUUUCCCCAAUCACAAGUUUCUCCACGACGCAUCCUCCGCAAUCGCAACUUCCGGAUUGUCCGCAAUCGCAACUUCCGGAUCGUCCGCGAGGUCUUCUACAAUCACAACAUCUCCAACGACGUCCCACGAAGUCUGCAUUAUCCUCAUCAUAUCAUUCAAACUUCUACACAUUCGCGACUUUAUCCGCGUCUCCUACAGAUUCAUUUUUUUAAUCUGAAUAUCUGCGUCUUUCGUACAUCCGCGUUCCUUCCGUCCUCAAUCUCUCAACGCACACGUCACAACAUGAUCUGCAGUCGACGAUUUCUACCACAUCACAACGCGGCUUCAACACACGCGAUCCGUGCAACUUGCAAUUUUCUGAUCAUCCGCGUCCCGGUCUGAAGAUUUCCGAAUCUUGAUCUGAUUUCCGCAUUCUUGGAGUUUUCUGCGUUAUUGGAGUGUCCUUCAACUGACGCGAGCAAUAACACAGGUGUGUGGAUUUGUUUUCGGUUCUUGAUUUUCCACUUGCGCGAUUUUGGUUCUUGAAAAUCAGAUAGGACAAUUUUUCACUGAUCUUCACAUCAUCCACCGACCUUCACACACGCAAUCACACAAUCGCCGACCGACCUUCACAACACGCGAUCUUCACAAUCGCCGAUCGUUCUUCAUCAUCCACCGACCUUCACACACGCGAUCAUACAAUCGCCGCCGAGUCCGCGUCUGCCGCGUUUGCCAUGACCUGCUCAGUUCGCGAUCUUACCUCAGUCCGCGACCUGCUCAGUCCGCGUCUGCCGCGAUCGAUCUGCUCAGUCCGCGUUUGCCGCGAUUUGCGCUGCGUGAUUUGCUAAAGCUGCGUCUUCAGAUCCGCGCUGCAAGAACUGCACAUUGGCAGUUGCUGUGAACUGCACGAACUGCACAUUGCGUUUUGUCUCAUUGUGAUCUGCACACUUUGCACUUUGGUCCAUUAUUUGUCACAAAUUACACUCGGCUCAAUCCAUUGAAAGCAUUGGGUCCAGUCCAUUAAGGAAAAUUCUUGUUGGGCCACAACUACUAGGCUCAAAAUUAAGAAGAAGGCUAAUGCAAAUUAAUCCGGUCCAUUCCUGAUCCAAAUUAAUUACUGAAAUUAAUUUCAACAACCAACGACUACUGCGUGUCUUGCUCCGGCGUUCAUGGCUUUCCGCGGCGAAGUCACACCCGGCUCGGCAACGGCCCACGCAAAGGUCAUCAAGCUCAAGUACCAAUGUGCCGAACGACUUUCUGGGGGAAAUUUUUUCGUUUGGCAAGCCCAAGUCCUCACCUUCCUACGUGGAUAUGGGUUAUUAGGAUACGUCACUGGCGAUAUCAACAUAAACGACGACGAAUUAAAAAUACAUCAGGAUCAAUUGAUCCUAGGUUGGUUCUUCUCAACACUACAGGUAGAUGUCCUAUCGCAAGUGGCAAGCGCAACAACGUCGGCGAAGGCGUGGGAGAAGCUGCGCCAGAUUCAUGCGUCAACUUCCGGAACGCGGGUCCUGUAGCUACGACACCAAUUACAAAACCUCAAGAAAGGGGAUUUGGCAUUGGAGGUUUACAUCUCAAAGAUGAUAGGGCUCGUUGAAUGCAUGCGUACGGCAGGAAUAUCGGUAACCGACUCGGAAACAAUCUUGUAUGUACUGGCCGGUUUAAACUCGAACUAUGAGGCAAUCGUCGCCGUAAUCUCCUCUCAACUUGAGAACAUGACCGUGCCAACAAUGAGAAUGUUACUAACAAAUCAAAAAAUCAGAAACUCAAACAAUAGAUCCUUGAUUUCAGAAAUGGCAGAGGUUAAUAUGGUAAAACAUCGAGGAGAAAAAGGAAAGUAUCGAGGAGAAAGGCCGGUCUGCCAAAUUUGUACUAAAAAGGGCAUGUAGCACUAGUAUGCCACAAUCGCCAUAAUGAGGAUGAUUACCCAACACCACCGGAACACAGGACCCGACAACUGCAAAAUCAAAAGAAAAAAGCUGUGAAUGCGGUAUGGACACCGACGCAAGCAUCUCCGGCACAGAUCAAUGCCCUUUGAAACCCUGAUACUACAGCCACGGGUCAUGUAUCAAGUACGGAAAAUGUAUUACAUCAUUCUAAAACUGCCAAAAUCCACCCAGGUAUAGUCGUUGCGAACGACUAUUCCCAUAGCCAUCACAGGCGAUUCUAAAUUCUUAAAACAAGGGAAGGAGAUUUGCGUUAAAGACAUUUCAAUUGUACCGUUGAUUUCCAGGAAUUUACUCUCGGUCUAUCGCUUAUGUAAUGACAAUAAUAUUGGUUGUUGGUUUGAUAAAUCAUCUGUGGCUAUGAUUGACUUGCAGACUAAGGAGGUCCUGGUGCGAGGGGGAGUCUCCGGAGGGAUGUAUGAACUGAACCUGGGGACAUCAGAAAGGAUGCAUGAAGUCAAUGGAGCAGGCAACAUACCGUUACCUCUCUAGUACUAUCGCUUUGGUCACAUCCCAGAGAAGUUAACUAAGUCGAUUGUCAAAAAAAUUCAACUGAAUGUAUCACAGUAAAAUAAAGAAUUUCAGUUUUGUGACUCGUGUGUAAUGGAAAAACACCACCGUCUCCCCUCCCCCUCUCGUCCAGAAAGCUCUGCUAAACAAAUACUAGACAUAGUGUAUGCUGACCUAUGGAGACCAGUACCAGAACCCUCAAUCGACGGACACUAUUAUUUUUUGAACUUUGUGGAUGGUUAUUCUCGUUAUAAUUGGUUAUUCCCUUUGGUGUGUAAAUCUGACGCUUUGAAAGUGUUUAAACUGUUUAAAAUAUUUGUUGAAAAACAAACAGGAAAAACACUGAAAGCUCUCCAAACUGACAAAGAUGGUGAAUUUUGAGCGUUCAACCCAUUUCUGCAAGAAUGUGGUAUUACACAUCUCCUAUCCUGUCCAUAUGCACAUACUCAGAUGGGCAUGGUCAAAAGGCGUCAUCGGCAUAUAGUUAACAUUGGCCUAGCACUCCUACAUCACGGCCAGAUCCCACUCCGGUUCUUGGAAUUUGCAUUUGCAACAGCAGCCUUCUUGUACAAUAGAACACCAUCACCGGUACUCGAGGGUGAAUCACCGUUUCAAAAGUUAUUUCAGGUAUCACUGUCAUACAACGAUCUUCGGGUAUUUGGGUGUAGAGUAUAUCCAAAUCAAAGACCCAUCAGAAAGAACAAAUUUUCAUACAGAUCUGACCCUCAUAUAUUCCUGGGCUGCCCAAAUAACCAUCGAGGUUAUCUAUGUUACAAUCCGACUACCAGGAAAUUUUUAAUAUCACGUAAUUGUAUAUUCUAUGAAACUGACUUUACACUCAACACAAGUUUAAUUGAAACAACUAAUGACAUACCUACAAGUGAUCAAGGUUUCAGCCAUCCAGAAAUUGUUGACUCAAGAAAUGGUGAUGAAAUUCGAACAACCUCUGAGCCUGGAAGUGAAUCAAUCUCACAUGACGACGAAACUUCUCAAAACAAUACUACUCCAUUACAACAGCAACAAAGAAUGAUUACAAGGGGACAAAGAGCAAUUCGCAAACCAAACCCAAAAUACGUUUGCAUGAUCUUCUUAUCUCUAUCAGUUCCAACAGGCGAUGCCUUAGCACUACUCGAUCCUAAUUGGACAAAGGCCAUGACAGAAGAAUUUGAGGCUUUACUAGCAAAUAACAUCUGGGAACUAGUACCACGACUACCAAGGUACAAUGUAUUGAGUUGUAAAUGGAUCUUCAAAAACAAAAUAAAAUCAGAAGGUACCCUAGAGCGUCGAAAAGCACGGCUAGUUGCAAAUGGGUUUCGCCAACGAGACGAUAUCGAUUACGAUCAGACAUUUACCCCAGUGGUAAAACAGGUAACUAUUCGAGUGAUUCUGUCAUUAGCAGUUACAAACAAAUGGCAAGUCACUCAAUUAGAUGUAUCAAAUGCUUUCCUACAUGGCAUACUGGAAGAAGAAGUUUUCAUGUGCCAAGCUCCGGGCUUCACAAGUAAAGAAUUACCGGACUAUGUAUGUAAACUCAAGCGCUCACUCUACGGGUUAAAACAAUCACCACGUGCAUGGUUUGUUAGACUCAGGACAGUGUUACUUCAGGUUGGCUUCUCCGACAGUACAUGCGACCAUUCAUUAUUCAUGUUUCACCAAGGAGGGAUACAAGCAUGGCUGAUUGUCUAUGUCGACGACAUAACAUUCACAAGCUCCUCAACAAAAUUUAUAGAAGACACGAUUGAAUCCUUACAAAAACAUAUUCCAAUGAAGAACUUGGGUCAACUACACCAAUUUCUAGGAAUUCAGUGCGAUUGGGAAGAUGACGGCUCUCUAUACCUAUCUCAACAUCAAUACGCAAGGACGAUCCUAGAGAAGUACGGACUGAACACUUUAAAACCAGCCCAUGCACCCAUGGAUAAUCGGGUCAGGCUAUAUGAUGAAGCCACUCCAUUCGAGUCCCCAACUCUACUCCGUCGUCAACUAAUUGGAAGUUUGAAAUAUCUGACCAUUACACGCCCUGACAUAUCAUUUUCAGUCAAUAAAAUCGCACAGUUUAUGCAAACACCAUCAACUGUACACUGGACGACCCUAAAAAGAAUCUUUCGCUACAUUGCUGAGAUAAUUUUUCAUGGGACACACAUCAAACACUCAGAAACGUCCAAACUAGUAGCCUUCUCCGAUGCCGAUUGAGCGGGAGAUAAGCACGAUAGUCGGAGUCAGGGGGCAUAUGUUGUGUUUUUUGGUUCAAAUUUAAUAUCACGGGGAUCGAGAAAGCAAAGCAUGGUAGCUCGCUCCACAACCGAAGAGAGUAUCGAAGUGUCGCAGACACAGCAACAGAAAUGGAUUGGAUCAGAGGGCUACUAAAGGAAUUGGGUAUACAAGUUCCAAUGCCAGCAAAAAUUUGGUGUGACAAUUCUGGUGCGAUAGCCAUUUCAAAAAAUCCAUCGCACCAAAUGAAGUCCAUGCACUUCACUAUGAACUACCAUUUUGUUCGAGAACGAGUCUUCGCUAAAGUACUCGAAGUUCGGUUCAUCGGGUCAAAAGAUCAGAUAGCAAAUCUCCUCACCAAGCCACUUCCACGACCAGCGUUCAAGACAUUACGUGUCAAUCUUACCGAAGAACUUCCGUUACGCUUGAGAGGACGUAUUAAAGAACAAUUAGUUACAGUUAGUUAGUGAUUAACCUAUCUACAAAUCAGUUACAAUAUAAAUCCUAUAUAAGGACAUCAUGUAUUCAAAUAUAUUCAUUCAAAUAUUCAAUACAAAUCUAGUUUGUAAUACUGCACUUCGCCAUUGUAUGGACCGAAUCUUGGUGUUCUCACUGUAUCUCCAUGUAUGCCGUCGAGUCGGUCCACAUCGGACAUGCUUCAGGAAGCGCACUUGCUCCUUUUAAUACUAGGAAAACCUCCCUUUGGUUCAGCCUGGACUCAAACUGCUUUCGGGGCCCGACGUAGGGUUACUUCCCCUUGUCGUUCUGGGAUUUUGAGGUUCUCCUUUCAGUUGUUGGUACCAAGUCAUUGAAAGAAAAGGUUCCCUCCUUCUGAUGUCAGUUAUUGUAUGUAGCCUCCUGCCUUCCCCUUUUGACGUCGUUGUGCCUGCUUAUAUUUUGGAGUCAGGAAUUCCUCUACAUUCAUUGCACCUUAUUGGGCCCGGGAAAAGGCCUCCACGAAGGUUUUCACCUUGUCGCUGACCAGCUUGAAGGCGAAUUUCGCCCUCCUCAACCCAUCGAGUAGGGUCAUCAUUAUCGUUAGCUCUUCGAUUUAAUCCAACUCUUGGAUCGUUGUAGCGAAUCAGUUCAUGUAAUCUCGUAGAGUUUCGUUGUCGCCCUACGUGACGCCUAGGAGGAUUGUUAUUCCUUUCUUCUUUCGAGUGUGGAACGCGAAUACCACCCGGAACAUUCUUUCAAGAUCUUCGAAUGCGUGUAUGUUGUGCAGGGGUAAGCCUCGGUACCAUCCUAUGGCGUCACCCAAGAGGGUUCUUCGGAACAUCCGGCACCAGAUGUCCCUCUGGAUCGUCAUAUCCUCCAUUCCGGUUCGGAAAGAGUGGAGGUGGUCGUUUAUCCCAUUUUACGACGUCAGUCAGGGCGUUUUCCAUCCUGCAGGGUAAUCCUCACGUAUGAGAUGGGAUGUCAGGGCUUCCUCUCCUUCCUCUAAGAGAAGGGGGCAUCAUUUCUUGUGGGGUUUCCCUCCUCCAUUCGCAAUAUUUGCUCAUGUAGCUAUCUAUGAUUCUCCUGUAGGCCAAUGAUGGCAUGCAAAAGGUGUUGGGUGACGUCGUUCCUCGGGCUCUGCCUCCGUUGCUUGUGACGGUAUCUCCGAUUCCUCCUUCUUUCUAGAGAUUCCUUCGAUCAAGAUCGCCGCCUGCGGUCCCUUCUCCUAUCCCUUCUGACGAUGGGAGAUCAGGAUCGGCUGUGAGAUCGGUCCAUCAUGAAGACAUCUGGUCAUGAGCCACUCGUCCUUUGUAACAGUGCCGAUCAGGCAAGAUCUUUCCCAAGGUCUCUAAUUACCUUCGGCGUUCAUUGCUCUUCCUUAUUUUCACCAAUUCUCAAGGAGCUUAUUCCUUACCGGAUCUCGGCAUAUAUCCAAUUUCGUAUUUUUUUUAUAAAACUUUAAUUAAUAUUUAAUUUUAAAAAUCAAAUUUUUUAUUGUAUUCAAAUACUUGGUAAUUAUUUGAAAUAACAUUGCACAAUUAUUCAUCUGUCAUCACAAAAAAAAAUCAAAUCAAUAUAGGCAAUACAUGAUUGAUAAUUAUAAGAUUCUUAUGAAAUUAUUGUGAUGGUGCCCUAAUCAGAGAACUCGUCUUGAAGGUACUUUACAACGUCUUUGUCAAGACUGAAUGCCUUUGUUAGAACAUUGACGUCGAUGGGAGGUUUGGAUCCGAACAAAGCAUCUGCAAUAGUGAUGACACCUGGAUUCUGGCUACUGAGUCCGGCGAUUGCCACGACAGGAUCAUUUCCGAGGUUUAUUUGAAAGUGGAUGAGACCGAUAGGGAAGGUGAAGACAUCACCCUUUUUGAGAACUUUGGAGAUAAAUCGGUUUUCUGGGUUGGAGGUGACAAAUCCCACUCCCAAUGUCCCCUCGAUCACAGUUAGGAGCUCGGUCGCACGAGGAUGGGUGUGAGGAGGAUUCAAGCCCCCAGGUUGAAAGUCGAUGCGAACUAGGGAGAUUCCAAGAGUGUUAAGACCAGGGAUCUGUGCAACAUUCACUGGUGUAACAAUUGACCCGACCCGACUUUUGCUGUUAUUUGCCUUGUCGAGACCAGAGAAGAAGAAGUCUUUUUCAGUGACGUACUUUGGGUUCUUGCACACUAAUCCAUUCACCAACACUGUACGUGUAUAUAUAUUGAAAAUUAAUAGAUGAGAAAAUUAUCCUAUAUAUAUGUCAAGAAAUCAAAUUUGUUCAUACAUAUAUAUAUAUAUAUAUAUAUAUACUUAGUUACUUACCCUUGGAUGCAUGGUCAGCAACACAGAAAUCUUGAAGAGGGCUUGGAUCAGAAGCCAUGGCCGAAGAAGCAAUUGCCAUUGCCACAGCAAAAAACAAAAUGACAAGUUUGGAAUCCAUUGUCAUAUAUUUUUCUAUCUAGUUUGGAAGUGCAUGUAACCUUGAUGGAUUAAUUGUAUUUAUAGAUGAAAACUGGGCAGAAUUAUCUUGAACAAAUCAAAUCUAAUAUAGAUAAGAUUUGGUCAAUUUGAAAAUUUACAAUGUUCAAUAAAGUAAUUAUCUUGAACUUUUCUAAUUUUCAUCAAUAAAACAUAAAUCGUUUAUUAAUAAGUUGGACAGACAAUUAAGUACACGUUUUCUUUGUACACAUUUUAAAAUAUAUUUUGACUUUUAAUUAUCAAUGCAAAUGAAAUUGAUUUGGAUUAGAUAAUGAAAAGUCAAACCUCCUGUUAAUAUCAAUGUUCUUACAAAAGUAUUAGGUCUUGACAAGCACGUGGCGAAUGUAGGGGAGGUUUGGGGGACUUGAGUCCCUCCUUAAAAAAUAUUCAUAUAUACCCCACCAUUUAAAAUAUAUAAAUAUAAUAAUACUAAAUAUUUAAUUUUAUAAGCUUUAUGUAAGGGUGAGAAUGGGCACCGGGUCGUCCCGGUCACCUGGUCUGGGGCGGGUCUCAGGGUAAGGAGGUAGGGUGUCUGAUCCGUACCGUUCUCACCCCUAGUUCUGGAUGAUUAUGAGGGUGGUCUUUUGUGGGACCACGACCCUUCUUCUUCAGAGGCAUAUUAGAUGUCGAUGGCACAUCUAAUUGUAAAAUAUUAAUAUUUAACUAAAUUUAUAUUUUACACGUAAUAUUUAAAUUAUAAAAAUACUAACCACCACAGUCGGAGUCGUUAAAUGAACGAAGUGAUGUAACCAUUGCUAAUGUCAGAAACGGUGAUAACACCGAAGAGAAUAAAAAACGUAAACAUAAUAUGAAAUAUUACAAUUUUAAAAUAAAAUCAGUUAAUUCAAAUACAUACUCAAACACUUGUAUACGGGAUUUUAGUCAGACACAACAACCAAACAUUUUUCAUAUUGUAAUUUACAUUCUUUAUUAUCGUACACAAAUAGCGUUGUAACAAAAGUUCGGUAUUUGACAAACUAUUCGGUUUGUUUCGUUAUUUAACCAACCCGAAGCCGAACUUUGGAUUAGAUCGUUUAAUUAAACGAACCGAACCCAAACCUUUGUUGAGGUUCAACGAACGGUUCGGUUCGGUUCGUUUAACAUUUUUAUUAUAUCUUAUUAUUUUAUAUUUAUAUUAUAAACUUAUAUUAUAUAAUAUUUUAUUAUAAAUUUAUAUUAUAUAUUUCAUAACUCAUAUAUAUUUUUACAAUUUUUCAUUAAUAUAUUAUAUUAAUGUUGGUUUUUAAUCAACAAGAAGAAAAGAUGAUUAAGGAUUGACUCAAAACAAAAGAAAGUAGACUAUAAAUAAUGUAUUUUUUAUUGUUUUUUUUAAAGAAAUUUAAUUACUUCAAAAAAAAAAUUCAGUAUUCGACGAACUAUUCGGUUCGGAUUCGGUUAGGUUCGGUUCGUUUAAUAACCGAACCCAAACCCAAGCGUAGGCUAGUUUAUUUAAACGAACCGAACCGAAUACUUAGGCUCGAGUUGCAACGCUAUAAACAACAGAUCUUCGAAGUCGUCGUAGGAAGAGUUGUAUUUGAUUUAGAAUGAAUGUGUGCCUCCACAAUCAUUCAAAACUCUUGCUUCGUAUCCUAACACUAAAAUUUGACAAGUUUCCAUUGUUUGAGAAUUUCUCGACCAUAUUUUACAACAGUUGUGAAAAUGAUGAUCGUUGACUCCUCAACAAAAACAAGCAAACAUACAACAAUAAUAAUCUAUAUUUUUAUGAAAACUACGUUGAAUUCGGUUGAGUCGCUCGAGUCGUUCGUAACGUUCAACGAUUGCAAGUAGUUGACUCAUUUUUUUACAAAAAAAAAGAAAUAUUUACAAUUGUUAUAAUUAUUAAAAUUUAAUAUUCAAAAAUUUAAUUACAAUCAUCAUUAUCAACAUCGAAAAUAUCUUUAUUUGGUAUUUUGAGUACGGAACUCCAGUCAGAUUCUACUGAAUCUUGAAUGUAGAAACAUUGUUUAACUUAAUUCGCCAAAAUAAAUGGUUCCUUUCCAAAUUUUACUCGUGACGUGUUUACAGAAACGACAUCAAAAUCAUCGAGUUUUGUACCACUUACAUUUAAACAGACAAAUUUUUUUCGUGUGACCAUAGCAAACUUAGUAAACAUUUUCUAAUUAUUCAUGAUAUUUGAUUUCUGUAAUCAAUGAAACAUCAACCGGAGACUUAGUGUAUGUUGAUGUUGUAGCAUAAAAAAAAAGAUUAUUUUUUGUCGAUCUACGAUUUGUCAAUUUUGAUAUCUGAAAUUUUAACCCAUUCAUAAUGUAACCACUAUAAGUUGAAACAAAAAAACUUGGUCUGCGAGAAAUAGAAUUUAAUUCUAUGUCGGAUCGUUGGGAUUCGAACAUAUGUUUCUUAAACCAUUCUGCAAAUUGUUUGAAGUGUAAAUUUUCCAAACGUUGCUACGUGUGAUUUGGAAAGUUAAUUUUUAAUUCCUCUAAGUUUAUUCCGAUAUGUUUCGACACUAUCGAGGUUAAAUAAUAUAAAAUAUAUCGAUAUACCUAUCUGACCGAUUUGAUUUUGUCUCAAUAUUUUGUGAAAAACGAGAACAAAACGUUAUUGAUUUUUCAGUAAAAUAACUUUCUACAAUAGAACCUUCUGGGUGACGCACCGUGAUAUGAAUUUUUAGAGUCAGAAGAUACAUAAAGUCAGAAAAUAUUGUUGCAUAAGAUAUUUGGAUUAUAAAUGAAGUUAUAAUUAAUUUUUCAAUGUAUUAUACCUUUCUAUCGGAUACAUCCAUCGAUAUUGAACCGGUCCAGCUAUUUUAACUUCGGUUGCUAGAUCGAUGGAACAUAAGGUGAAUCAUUACUCUAAAAAAUCUAGGGGAAAGAUUUUUUCAAGAUUGCAUAAUGUAAUGACGAUUCUUUUCUCCUCCCAUUGUUCCAUAAGUUUAUCAUCAACCACCUUCGAACAAAUAUCGUGAAAAUAUCCAUAAAGUUCAACGAGAACCGAAGUCACUACAGGUUUGUCGAUUUGCGUAAAGCAAUAGGAAGUAACUGUUGCAUUAUAACGUAACAGUCGUGACUUUUGAAUCCGAUAAAUUUUCUCUCAUCAUUUUAACAUUUCUAAAAAUGUUGGAACAAUAUCUAUCGGGAAGUGUAGUGAAUGAAAGACUGGUAGAAACAAUAUCUUCUCUUUAGUUGUCAAGUUGAAACAUGCAGUCGGAAUGUCCAGUCUUCUCCCCGUCGUAUUGGAUGAAGUUCUUUUCGAAUUCCCAUUGAUUGUAAAUUGAAUAUCGCGUUCAAAUUAUUUUUGGUUUUUCCAUCCAUUUCCAAAAUCGUAUUCAAAAUGUUAUCACAUACAUUCUUUUUUGUGUGUAUAACGUCAAUAUUAUGUCGUAAAAGCAACGUCUUCCAAUACGGUAAUUGAAAGAAAAUACUCAUUUUUUCCAUCCUUUAGGCAAUUGUAUUUUCUUUGUUUUUUUCGUCGGUCUACAAUCUUUUGAUACAUUCGAAGUUUUACCAAAAAUUUAAUAAUUACGAAAUGGAUACAUUUGACUAUAUAUUUGGAAACCGAUCAAACGUUUCGGUGCGACUCUAAUCUCGAUCUGAUUAUUAAAAUUUUUGUUAUCGCUUCUGUAAUAAUAUUACAAAUAUAGAAAUCAACGAUGUCUUAUAAAACUUUCUUUUUUUCCAUGUUCUAAACGAAUACUAUCGGUGUCAUUCAGACUGCCAAUAAGAUAACUUUCAUUUAGAGCUCCAACCUGAUAUAUCACCAUAUCUCGAAUAAUCAUGUAUAGUCCACAAAAGUGAUGCAAACAUCUGAAAAAGAUUUCUGCGUACGCACAUCAAAAGCAAUAACACCAUCUCUCCAUAAAAUCUUAAGUUCAUCAAUAAGCGGUUGUAGAUAUACAUCUAUAUCAUUCCCUGGAGUUGACGGACCAAAAAUAAGAAGAAAUAACAUGAAAUUCGGUUGUUUCAUGUACAUCCAAGGUGGAAGGUUAUACGGUAUAACAAUCACUGGCCAAGUAUUAUGAGAUAAAGAUUGUUAACUGAACGGAUUGAAUCUAUCAGUUGCUAAACCAAGUCUGACAUUACGUGGUUCAGAUGCUAACUCUGGAUGAACCUCAUCAAAUUUCUUUCAUUGUAAAGAAUCAACUAGAUGACGAAAUUUUAGAACACAAAUACAAUCUCUUCAAAUGUGGAAUCAAUGGAAAAUGACGAAAACAUUUCGCAGAAACACGUUUCUUUAUCUGAACGCCUUCUACAACCCACCUCAACGUUCUACAAAAUGGGCAAGAUUCUGUGUCUGCAUACUCAUUUCGAUAUAAAAUACAAUCGUUGCAACAUGCAUCGAUUUUCUUAUAAUUGAGCCCUAAAUCACGAACCACCGACUUUGCAUGGUACAUGGUUUUUGGAAUGGUUGACUCACCAUUUGGAACAGCACGAUGGACAAUAAUUUCUAAAAACUCUUAUCACUCCAACGAUUGUCGCACUUCAAUUGAUACAAUUCCAAGAUAAAAGAGAGUUUCGAAAACUCUGUGCAACCUGGAUACAACUGUUUUUCACCUUCUUUUAGACGUCGUACAAAUGAUUCAUCGUAACUGUUCUCUGGAUCGUCGUCGACUGGAUCUUCAUCGACAUACUCGUCGUCGAUUGGAAUUUCAUCGACAGGCUCGUAUUCGAGAGGUUCUUUUUCGAGAAGCUCUUUUCGACUGUAUUCUCGACUAUAUGUUCUCUGAAUGCCGCACAAACUAAUCCAAUCAUGUCGUUAUCAGUUUCCACUGUCUGCCGUUUCAUAUUUUUCUCUGAAUUUCUCGGUAACUCUCCGUGAUACGUCCAAAUAACAUAAUGUUUCAACCAACCGUGCAAAAAAAUAUGUUUCCUCAACUCGGGUAUAGGAAUCACUUCACUAUUCGUGCAACGUGAGUAGGCACAAGGUAAAUAACCUUUAGAAUAUUUCGUAAGCGCAACGGCAUAAUUAGUGAAAGCAGUUAUGUUUUCACCGUAUUCUUUCGAAAAUCGAUUUAAACUCGUCCAAGAUUUAUCUGGUACUUUCAUUUUUUAUAUAUUCUCCUAAAAAAUAAAAUUAUUUUUAGAUAAUUAGAUAAAACUUAAUUGAUUAUUACAAUAUAAUUCAAUUAAUAUUAAGUUCAUUUUUAGAUAAUCUAAGGUCUAAUAGCUAGUCCGAAUCGGAUUCAAAAAAAACUUUUUUCGGAGUUGCUGGUUGCGGAAUGGGAGGGACCAGUGCUAGACGAGCAGGUGUCGGUGUGGGAGGGGCUGAUGCUGGACUAACAGGUGCCGGUACAGGAUGAACAAGGAGAUAAAAUGGAAAAACAUCUUGGGGAUUGAAUUAUUAAACAAAAAUAAUUUACAUUUUUCAGAAAUAAUAACAUUUCAUAAUUUUUAACAUACAAAUUGAAUAUUUAUUAAUAUUUAAUUAUCAACAUAUUAAUUUAAUGCAAAUUAAUUAAUACAUAAACUCAUGUCAAUUAUUUGUUAAUUAAUUACUAUUUUUUAUAAAAAUAAAAUUACAUUAAAUAAUCAUUAAUUAUUAAACAAAAAUAUAUUAGAUUUUUCAUAAAGAAUAUUCAUUAUUAGCAUAAAAAUUGAAUAUUUAUUAAUAUUUGAUUAUUAACAUAUUCAUUUCAUGCAAAUUACUUAAUAUAUAUAUUCAUGUAAAAUAUUAAUUAAUUACUAUUUUUUAUAAAAAAUAUUAAAUUAUAUAAUUAUUAAAUAAAAUUAAUUUAAAUUUUUACCGCAAUAUAACUUACUUCAAUCCGAAAUUUAUGAAUUCUCGAUUUCUCAAAACGUACAAAUAAGUCAAAAAUAUAAUAAUUAAUUAAAACAUUUUUUAAAUUAUUUAAAAACAGCAUAUUAAAUAAAUAAUUAAAUUAUUUUUUAAAUUAUUUAAAAACAGUAAAUUAUAUAAUUAAUUAAUUAUUUAAAUUAUUAGAAAAUAGUAAAAUAAAUAAUUAAAUAACUAAUAAUUUAAAGUAUUUAAAAACAGUUAUUUAAAUUAUUACUUAAAAAGUUAUUUAAAUUAAAUAAAAAGAAUAAUUAUAUAAUUAAGACAUUUUGAAUAUUAUUUAAAAUCAGUAAAUUAAAUAUUUAAUUAUUUAAUUAUUUAAAAAUAAUUAAUUAUUUAAAGUAUUUAAAAAUAGUAAAUUAUAUUCUUAAUUAAAUAGUAAAUUAAAUAAUUUAAAUAACAAAUUAUUUAAAAUAUUUAAAAACAAUAAAACUAUUAAUGUCUUGUAUUAUAACAAGUGAUUGUUGCUUUCAAAAUCAAUGGUUAAAAUCUAACUGUUAGAUCUUCAAGUUCUCAUAUAAUUGUCAUAUAGUUGGUUCUCAUCUAAAAUUCAACCUAAAUAAGUUAUUUAAGCGCGAAAUUGAAAUGAGAACUAUUAUUUGAGAAUUAAAUAAGAACUUUCAAUCAUUCAAUUUUCAUCCAACAACUAAAUCAUUUAAUAUUAAAUAUGAUCAAUAUCUCGAGUAAUAAAUGAGAUUGCAUAUGGAGGAAAUUUAAAGUGAUGAAUUGUCACGUAGGGUUAUGAUUAAUGUUCUAAUUAGCAUUUCUCAAAUAGUGAGAUUGAUCUCACUUGAAACUGACCCUAAAAUUUUAAUCUUCACUUUGAAAAAUUGAUAAACCUUUAAUUAAUGAAAAAUUUCUCAUAUAUCCAUUUUCAUGUUUUUUUUUAUAAACCUUUAAUUAAUAUUUCAUUUUAAUUAUGGUUACAUACAGUUUAAAAUGAAAUCAAAUUUUUUAUUGUAUUCAAAUACUUGGUAAUUAUUUGAAAUAACAUUACAUAAUUAUUCAUCAAUAUAUAGGCAAUACAUAAUUGAUAAUUAUAAGAUUCUUAUGAAAUUAUUGUGAUGGUGCCCUAAUCAGAGAACUCAUCUUGAAGGUACUCUACAACGUCUUUGUCAAGACUGAAUGCCUUUGUUAGAACAUUGACGUCGAUGGGAGGUUUGGAUCCGAACAAAGCAUCUGCAAUAGUGAUGACACCUGGGUUCUGGCUACUGAGCGCGGCGAUGGCCACGACAGGAUCUUUUCCAAGGUUUAUCUGAAAGUGGAUGAGACCGAUAGGGAAGGUGAAGACAUCACCCUUUUUGAGAACUUUGGAGAUAAAUCGGUUUUCUGAGUUGGAGGUGACAAAUCCCACUCCCAAUGUCCCCUCGAGCACAGUCAGGAGCUCGGUCGCACGAGGAUGGGUGUGAGGAGGAUUCAAGCCCCCAGGUUGAAAGUCGAUGCGAACUAGGGAGAUUCCAAGAGUGUUAAGACCAGGGAUUUGUACAACAUUUACUGGUGUAACAAUUGACCCAACUCGGCUUUUGCUGUUAUUUGCCUUGUCGAGACCAGAGAAGAAGAAGUCUUUCUCAGUGACGUACUUUGGGUUCUUG